rnacentral:rRNA from 1 species
AACGAACGCUGGCGGCAUGCCUAACACAUGCAAGUCGAACGAUUGCCUUCGGGUGAUAGUGGCGCACGGGUGCGUAACGCGUGGGGAUCUGCCCGUAGGUUCGGAAUAACAGCUGGAAACGGCUGCUAAUAACGGGGGAUAUCGCGAGAUCAGAGAUUUUUCGCCUGAGGCUGAGCCCGCGUUGGAUUAGGGAGGUGGUGGGGUAAAGGCCUACCAAGCCGACGAUCCAUAGCUGGUCUGAGAGGAUGAUCAGCCACACUGGGACUGAGACCCGGCCCCGACUCCUACGGGAGGCAGCAGUGGGGAGUAUUGGACAAUGGGCGCAAGCCUGAUCCAGCAAUGCCGCGUAAGUGAUGAAGGCCCUAGGGUUGUAAAGCUCUUUUACCCGGGAAGAUAAUGACUGUACCGGGAGAAUAAGCCCCGGCUAACUCCGUG